AUCUUAUCCAGAAGGCUAACUGGGAAGAUGUCAUUGCAACAAUGAACAACCAGCUGCCAGGGUAACAUUUAUUUUACAGUCCUCCAUGCCAACAACAAGCGUAGCAGUGGAAACAGAGGACUUAAACAUGUGGGAAGGACUCAACCCUACAACUGCAGACUGGCUCUCCUUUUCCUUAGCUGAUGCCCUGCAAACAGCAGGACUCCAAUCUUCACCCACUAAUUCCUGGAAGGGAACAGCCCUGUGAUGGCAUCACUUGUUGGGAGACAGACAGCUAUGGCCCAUCUGCAGCCUCCUCCCUGACAGAAAGACAAUACUAGGAGGGCAAACAAGGACCAGAAGGAGAUGAAACGUUGAAUUGAAAGAGGAGAGCACAAGUGGAAACAGCACUGAAUGGAGAGACAGAAAAAGGCAAAGGUCACACUACCAGGAAGCUAAUGUCAGAAAAUAAAAGAUGAUUGUGUUUUGUUGCUUUA